rfam:Stereum hirsutum FP-91666 SS1 unplaced genomic scaffold STEHIscaffold_16, whole genome shotgun sequence.
GGCCAUAUCGUAUAGCGGUUUAGUACACGGGAUUUUGACGACUGUGCAAUCUUCCCGUAACCCAGGUUCGAACCCUGGUAUGGCCU